rnacentral:lncRNA from 1 species
AGUAACAUUGCAUUAUAUACCACAUUUUCUUUAUCCAUUCAUCUGUCAGUGGACACUUAGGUUGUUUCCCUAUCUUGGCUAUGCUGCAAUGAACAUGACAGUGCAGAUAUUUCUUUGAGAUACUGAUUUCAUUUCCUUUGGAAAUAUUCCCAGAAAUGGGAUUGCUGGAUCCAUUAUAAAUUUUCAUUAAUAAACUUCCCACAGCAGAUCUGUAGCUAAUGGUUGACAUUUUUUUUCACAUAUAUCUAACCUUUUUCUAAUGAUUAUUUGGCAACUGUAAAGCUGUCUCUUACUAGUGGUUUUGGUCCAUGAAAGUGAAUAAUAUCCAGGUGAGAGCCUAAUGGGAGACAUCAAUAUGUCAAGUUUGAAAAUGAGACAUCCACUUGAAAAGUAUAAAGGUAAUGGAAACAGAGUCAAAUUAAGAGGACUCAAAAGUCAGAAACAAAAAAAGUAAAGACAUAGUUGAUUGGCAGUGGAUGAAGGAGGCUUUGAGAAUUUUUGAACAUGCAUGUCAAGACAUAGAUACAUGCUUCAUGGAUUUUUUUUUACUUGCUUCAGAUAUUUACUCGCAUGUGUGUUUCAGGUCUAUUUAAAGAGAUCAGAAUGAGGCAUAUAUUUCAUCAUAUUUUGGAAAGUAUAUUAAGAAUUAAUCACCCAAGCAUUGAAAUCAGAUGGAUUUUGCCUUAAGAACUGGCACUACCACUUAUUAGCCACGUGAAUCUGAGCAAGUUACUCUUUGAACCUCGCUCAUUGUCCUCAACCAUAAAAUGGAGAUAAGGGCAACAUAUAACUCACUAAGCUGUUCUGAGAAUUGAACGGGAUAAUGCAGAUAAAGACCUUCAUGCAGUCCCUGCCCAUAGUGGAGGAUCAUUAAUUAUUAGUUGUUAUUAGUGUUAAUGUACACCAUCCAGAAGGCAUUCUUUUAGAGCCCCAUCAAUAUCUUUCUUUCCUCACUUAUCUCUCCACCCCAAUAAAAGCCCUCAGUAGAUCUCAUCAAUAAUGCUCUCAUCAGCACCCUCAAUGACCUUUCUCCUCUGUCCUUCCGCCACAGGUAUAAUGUUGGCUCGCCCUGUGAAUCCACUGACUAGAAACGCUGUUGAAGAAAAAUCACAUACUUAUGCCAAAAAGCAAGGCAUAGAAGACAGAAGCAGAUUUACUGAGAGACUGAGCAUGAACAGAACUGCUCCAAGACCCAGAAGACAUCACAGUGAGGAGAGACUUCCUCUGAGAUUCUUAUAGAAUCCAACAGUGCUCUGCUCCCUCGGGGGGCUGCAGCUAUGGGAACAUGGGUAUGGUGCCACAUACCCAUCAGUCAUAGCAACAGGAGAGCUUCUUCAAACUACUUUGAUGGUAGUGACGUUAGCCUGAGGAAGCCAGAACCAGAAAGGAAGAAUAUGAAGAUGUCACACUGGGAGUGUGGGCACCUGUGAGGCCUCCCUUUGGAGACCGGCAGACAUAAUUGCAAGACACUUGCAUGCUGAGGUCUUGUAAACAUACUGCUGGAGGCAUUGUAAUUCGGGCAUUAAUAAUAAAAGAGGUCUAAUUUAUAUACA